rnacentral:lncRNA from 1 species
AGACUUCCAGGGUGCAAAACUUAUUACUAAUAUUAAUUUUUGAAAACAUGCACUGUUCUCAUUUGAUGACCUGUUUUAGUUAUGGCUUUGAUGCGUGUUUGUCUGGUUUAGGUUUGGACAAUCUUGUUUUGUUAGAGGGCAUUGUUAUACACGGUUUAUGCUGCUUUAAAAGGUCAAUAAAGUCUAUAAAAUUUAAGACAGUCUCCCUUUUUAUUAUAGCUAAAACGUGAUGGUCCAAAUUGAAAGGUGAUGAGAAGAAGAAAUGCAUGUAUGCUCUAUCCUGUAGUCUUGUCUUGUCUCCCCUGCAAGUGUAAACUGGGACCUGCUUCUCUUUGUAAGAAUGGUUCCACUUUGGUAUAAAACUCUGGGAUUUGUUAAACAGUUUGCCUUUUUUGAAGAUGCUAAAGGUACUGUUGAAGCUGUAAAACUUUUUAUAGCUGUUACAGAAAGUUAGUAACACAUCAAGGUAUCAGAUACAGAUCCUCUUGUAGAAUUACGGUUUGCAGGGAUCGAACUACAUCCUGGGAAUCAAUGUUGUUAAACUUGUAACUCGGAAGCGGAUCAGAAAGGGUAUGAAAACUUGUUACCCGAGGAUCGUAACUUGAUUUGGAAGAGUUACUAUUCUAGUUACUACUGUACAUAACAUAAUUAAAAAUAGAUUCAUAAUUCAUGAAAUGAUCCUAAUACAUAAUAUAAUUAAAUAUAGAUUCAUAAUUUAUAAAAUGGUCUAAAUACAUAAUACAAUGAAGAGUAGUGUGCGGCAGUGGCACGAGCAGUGGAGCAGUGGCAGGGCAGUGGUGCGUGCAAAUGGAGGGGCGAGUGGCGGCGAAAUGCGUGCGCGAGCAGUGGUGCAGCGGCGCGAAUGGAGGCACGAGUGGCAGUGGAGUCGUGAGCUGCAUAGGUUCUGAAAUUAGGGUUAAGGGGUUUUCAAAUUAGGGUUUCUGGGUUUAUUUGGGUUGGGUUUCAGUUUUUCUUUGGGCCGAGUCAUGGAUCGUGGAGGCCCAUAGAUCGUCUGAUCCAACCCAUGAAUCGUCGGAUCGUUCCGAUCCGGACAGAUUCCGAUCCACCCCAUGAUCCGACUCGUUUCGUUUUCUUCUCAUAAGAUCGGUGAUCUAGAUCGCGAUCUUGACAACACUGCUGGGAAUGCAAGCUUAUCACAGGUUGCUAAGUGCAUUUCUGGAAUUAAAUUCUG